GGGAGCAAGAUCCCGGAGAUGGAUUCUGAGACAUGAAUCCAGGCCCUACGGGGCGCAGCAGGCGCGCAAACUUUACAAUGCGAGCAAUCGUGAUAAGGAAACCCUGAGUGCCUGUCGAUGCAGGCUGUUCAUAUAUCUAAAUCAUAUGUGAAGAAAGGGCAGGGCAAGACCGGUGCCAGCCGCCGCGGUAAUACCGGCUGCUCGAGUGAUGGCCACUAUUACUGGGUUUAAAGCGUCCGUAGCUUGACUGUUAGGUCUCUUGGGAAAUCUUCGCGCUCAACGUGAAGGCGUCUAAGAGAUACCGGCAGUCUUGGAACUGGGAGAGGUAAACCGUACUUCGGGGGUAGGAGUGAAAUCUUGUAAUCCUCG
rnacentral:rRNA from 1 species